GAUGAAGAACGUAGCGAAAUGCGAUAAGUAGUGUGAAUUGCAGAAUUCAGUGAAUCAUCGAAUCUUUGAACGCACAUUGCGCCCCUUGGUAUCCCGAGCGGCAUGCCUGUUCGAGCGUCAUUUCACCACUCAAGCCUGGCUUGGUGUUGGGCGACGUCCUCUUUGGGGACGCGCCUCGAAACGCUCGGCGGCGUGGCACCGGCUUUAAGCGUAGCAGAAUCUUUCGCUUUGGAAGUCGGGGCCCCGUCUGCCGGAAGACCUGCUCGCAAGGUUGACCUCGGAUCAGGCAGGGAUACCCGCUGAACUUAAGCAUAUCAAUAAGCGGAGGA
rnacentral:misc_RNA from 1 species